rnacentral:rRNA from 1 species
CGUAGGGUGCGAGCGUUGUCCGGAAUUAUUGGGCGUAAAGAGCUUGUAGGCGGCUUGUCGCGUCUGCUGUGAAAACCCGGGGCUUAACCCCGGGCUUGCAGUGGGUACGGGCAGGCUAGAGUGUGGUAGGGGAGACUGGAAUUCCUGGUGUAGCGGUGGAAUGCGCAGAUAUCAGGAGGAACACCGAUGGCGAAGGCAGGUCUCUGGGCCAUUACUGACGCUGAGAAGCGAAAGCGUGGGGAGCGAACAGGAUU